GUUUUUUUAAUGAAGAGUUGGGCCUGCUCGGUGAUUAAUAUUUAACAGCUGCGGUAUUAUAACUGUACUAAGGUAGCAUAAUAAUUUGCUCUAUAAAUUGGGGCUAGAAUGAAUGGUUUGACGAGAAUUUAACUGUCUCUAUUUUAUUUAUUAGAAAUUAAUUUUUAUAGUGAAAAAGCUUUAAUUAUUUAAAGGGACGAAAAGACCCUAUUGAGCUUUUGUUAUUAUAUAGAUAUAUAUAUGUAUAUAUAUAUGAUUUAUUUGUAAAUAACUUUGGUUGGGGUGAUCAAGGAAUAAAAAUUAAUUUAAAGUGUUUUAUUAACUUCCUUAAUUUUAAAUUUAGUUGAAGAAUAAACCAAGUUUUUUGCUUAGAAGAUAAGUUACCAUAGGGAUAACAGCGUAAUUUUUUUUGAGAGUUCAUAUUGAAAAAAGAGAUUGCGACCUCGAUGUUGGAUUAAAAUUGACCUUAAGGUGUAGAGGCUUUAUUAGGUAAAUCUGUUCGAUUUUUAAAA
rnacentral:rRNA from 1 species